rnacentral:rRNA from 1 species
AUUGAACGCUGGCGGCAUGCUUUACACAUGCAAGUCGAACGGCAGCGCGGGCUUCGGCCUGGCGGCGAGUGGCGAACGGGUGAGUAAUACAUCGGAACGUGCCCAGUAGUGGGGGAUAGCUCGGCGAAAGCCGGAUUAAUACCGCAUACGACCUGAGGGUGAAAGCGGGGGAUCUUCGGACCUCGCGCUAUUGGAGCGGCCGAUGGCAGAUUAGCUAGUCGGUGGGGUAAAGGCCUACCAAGGCGACGAUCUGUAGCUGGUCUGAGAGGACGACCAGCCACACUGGGACUGAGACACGGCCCAGACUCCUACGGGAGGCAGCAGUGGGGAAUUUUGGACAAUGGGCGAAAGCCUGAUCCAGCAAUGCCGCGUGUGUGAUGAAGGCCUUCGGGUUGUAAAGCACUUUUGGCGGGAACGAAAAGCACUGUGCCAAUACCACGGUUCGAUGACGGUACCCGCAGAAUAAGCACCGGCUAACUACGUG